AGGGCCGUAGCUCAAUUGGUAGAGUCCCGGUCUCCAAAACCGGUUGUUGCAGGUUCGAGUCCUGUCGGCCCUG
rnacentral:tRNA from 1 species